rnacentral:SRP_RNA from 1 species
GCUGGGCACGGUGGUGCGUGCCUGUAAUCCCAGCUGCUCGGGAGGCUGAGGCAGGAGAAUUGCCUGAACCCAGGAGGCGGGGGUUGCAGUGAGCCGAGAUCACGCCAUUGCACUCCAGCCUGGGUAACAAGAGCAAAACUCUGUCUCAA